UCAGAUAGUGUCAGACUAGAUAUAUUC
rnacentral:sRNA from 1 species